CUGAAUCAGUGUGUGUGUUAGUGGAAGCGUCUGGAAAGGCGUGCGAUACAGGGUGACAGCCCCGUACACAAAAAUGCACAUAUUGUGAGCUCGAUGAGUAGGGCGGGACACGUGGUAUCCUGUCUGAAUAUGGGGGGACCAUCCUCCAAGGCUAAAUACUCCUGACUGACCGAUAGUGAACCAGUACCGUGAGGGAAAGGCGAAAAGAACCCCGGCGAGGGGAGUGAAAAAGAACCUGAAACCGUGUACGUACAAGCAGUGGGAGCCUCUUAAUGGGGUGACUGCGUACCUUUUGUAUAAUGGGUCAGCGACUUAUAUUCUGUAGCAAGGUUAACCGAAUAGGGGAGCCGAAGGGAAACCGAGUCUUAACUGGGCGUUAAGUUGCAGGGUAUAGACCCGAAACCCGGUGAUCUAGCCAUGGGCAGGUUGAAGGUUGGGUAACACUAACUGGAGGACCGAACCGACUAAUGUUGAAAAAUUAGCGGAUGACUUGUGGCUGGGGGUGAAAGGCCAAUCAAACCGGGAGAUAGCUGGUUCUCCCCGAAAGCUAUUUAGGUAGCGCCUCGUGAAUUCAUCUCCGGGGGUAGAGCACUGUUUCGGCAAGGGGGUCAUCCCGACUUACCAACCCGAUGCAAACUGCGAAUACCGGAGAAUGUUAUCACGGGAGACACACGGCGGGUGCUAACGUCCGUCGUGAAGAGGGAAACAACCCAGACCGCCAGCUAAGGUCCCAAAGUCAUGGUUAAGUGGGAAACGAUGUGGGAAGGCCCAGACAGCCAGGAUGUUGGCUUAGAAGCAGCCAUCAUUUAAAGAAAGCGUAAUAGCUCACUGGUCGAGUCGGCCUGCGCGGAAGAUGUAACGGGGCUAAACCAUG
rnacentral:rRNA from 1 species